rnacentral:rRNA from 1 species
UGUAGUCCCAACGAUGAUGCAUACAUGUCAACUAUGGGUGUUGGGUCCAACAAUUCGCAUUGGUCUCAAACCAAUGACAUCCAUUUCGAAGACCAUGAGUUUGAGGUGGACGAGGAGGGUGAGGGCAUUGUUGACGCGCCGAAAGGAAGAGCGGGCAAUUACACCAACAAAGAUGACAUCUUACUAUGCAAUACUUGGUUGCAAGUGUCGAGGGAUCCAUCAGUUGGAGGUGAUCAAAGUAGAGAUUCUUAUUGGGGGCGAAUGAAAGAACACUUUGAUGCUCACAACGUGAGUGGAAUUGACCGCUCCGAGAGAUCACUUCGAUCCCGAUGGUCGACAAUCAACUCGGAUUGUCAAAAGUGGCGGCCGCACAAAAGGCAGUUGACAAGAUUAACCCAAGUGGCACAAAUGAGGAUGAUAGAGUAA